AUAAACACGCAGCAGCAACAUUCAAACCCCCCGUUUAAUAAAUGAAGAUUAAAAGAAGUCACUUUGAAUUGACGCUGCUGGUUUACCCACCCUGUGCUUCCAGCUGUGCUCGUUUGACUCCACACGUCCCAGCUCGUGUCAGGAGAUAAAUGACGGGAGCAGAUUGCACGUCUCAGAGGAGAAAACCUGCCUGGAGAUGGUGAGAAGGCCCUGGGGGAUGAUGGGUAAUGGCUACAGUGCCCCAGGCAACACAAGGUAACAGGUUGUUUAGGUGAUUGUGCAUCUUCUGCCGGCACUGACAGUUUGUCACCUUCUCUUAGAUGUUCAGGUGCCGUUUCAAAAACACGAGGCAGUUCUCAGACAGUGUUGUGCAGCUGUCAGCGAGAGCUGGUUGUUAUCAUGUCGAGGGACAGUCGCUCUAAUGGACUUCUGUCAGUGGCAUCAUCACCUUAAACACAAGCUCUGAGUGCUGCCGCGCCGCUGGUCAGACACGCCACCACUCAGGAGAGAAACCACAUGCUCCCACAGGAGAGACACAGCACCAGGAUGUCACUUAAAGACGCUGAUGGACUGCUGAGAGGUACAUGAACUCAAAUAAUGUACUUGUACGACAACUCAGAGGCAAAUAUUAUACUUUUUACUCCACUCCAGUUUCUGACAGCAAUAGUUAUUAGUUGUUUGGUUUUUUUUUUCAAACCUUUCCUAUCCAGUGUAAACCAUGUACGGUAUCUCCAAAUUGAGGGGAGAUUUGAAUUUGAAUGAAGUAUUCCUCUAAGUGUGUGAGAACAUGAUCCUCCCUAUUUAUAAUCCUAAUCUCCUAAUAAUGUUUAAAUACCUUCAUGGAUUAGCUAGAAAAAAGCCUCAGCACAACAUCUAAAAAUACGCUGUUUUUUUCUGACACCAUGAAACUUUUUAAAGAUGCA